GGUGGUGUCACCCAGCUGAGCUCAAAGUGCUCAAGGGAAUGUUGGGAAGCCGGCAAGGUAGAGGAGGAGGAGGAGGGAUGUUCCCAACAGCAUGGCCGCGGGCUCUCCCACAGGAAUCUGCUUGCUUGCGGCCCUGGGCUACUGAACCUGGUGAAAGCAAUUGAGGUGGCCACAAAGUGGAGCCUCAGGGAACUUGGGCUGUGAAGGGGACCCAGUUAAACCUCACCACACAUCACUUCACUUGGGCUGUUGGAGAAAGGUUGUUUUCCAUGAGAGGCUAUCCCUUACUGUGCUGGUUGAUCUGGAGGUGCUGGGGCAUGCAAGGGAGUGGGGUCAGGGACAUGGUGCUUUGCAGGGACAGACAGAAUGUAGAGUCCGUAGCCAUGUCAGUGUUUCACAGAGGGUAGAUGUGUCCAUUCCCAAAUUGCAACAUGAAUUUCCACAACCCCUUGAGAGCUGGGUUGGAUAUCCAUCCAUCCAUCCAUCCAUCCAUCCAUCCAUCCAUCAUCAAUCCAUCAUCCAUCCAUCCAUCCAUCCAUCCAUCCAUCCAUCCAUCCAUCCAUCCAUCCCUUCCAGAUCUUCUCACACAUGGUCUCAGGAUGCCCUUCUUUGGGACACCUCAAGAUGGGUUUGUAGAUAGCUAUGG
rnacentral:lncRNA from 12 species